AUCCAGCUGACAAGUCCCAAAUAGGAUUAAACGCACGUCAAACUAGAU
rnacentral:hammerhead_ribozyme from 1 species